rnacentral:rRNA from 1 species
UACGGGGGGGGGCAAGCGUUGUUCGGAUUUACUGGGCGUAAAGGGCGCGUAGGCGGCUUGUCAAGUCACUUGUGAAAUCUCUGGGCUUAACCCAGAACGGCCAAGUGAAACUGACAUGCUAGAGUGCAGAAGGGGCAAUCGGAAUUCUUGGUGUAGCGGUGAAAUGCGUAGAUAUCAAGAGGAACACCUGAGGUGAAGACGGGUUGCUGGGCUGACACUGACGCUGAGGCGCGAAAGCCAGGGGAGCAAACGGG